AUACGUAGGGUGCAAGCGUUAUCCGGAAUUAUUGGGCGUAAAGGGCUCGUAGGCGGUUCGUCGCGUCCGGUGUGAAAGUCCAUCGCUUAACGGUGGAUCCGCGCCGGGUACGGGCGGGCUUGAGUGCGGUAGGGGAGACUGGAAUUCCCGGUGUAACGGUGGAAUGUGUAGAUAUCGGGAAGAACACCAAUGGCGAAGGCAGGUCUCUGGGCCGUUACUGACGCUGAGGAGCGAAAGCGUGGGGAGCGAACAGGAUUAGAUACCCUGGUAGUCCACGCCGUAAACGGUGGAUGCUGGAUGUGGGGCCCGUUCCACGGGUUCCGUGUCGGAGCUAACGCGUUAAGCAUCCCGCCUGGGGAGUACGGCCGCAAGGCUAAAACUCAAAGAAAUUGACGGGGGCCCGCACAAGCGGCGGAGCAUGCGGAUUAAUUCGAUGCAACGCGAAGAACCUUACCUGGGCUUGACAUGUUCCCGACGGUCGUAGAGAUACGGCUUCCCUUCGGGGCGGGUUCACAGGUGGUGCAUGGUCGUCGUCAGCUCGUGUCGUGAGAUGUUGGGUUAAGUCCCGCAACGAGCGCAACCCUCGCCCCGUGUUGCCAGCGGAUUAUGCCGGGAACUCACGGGGGGCCGCCGGGGUUAACUCGGAGGAAGGUGGGGAUGACGUCAGAUCAUCAUGCCCCUUACGUCCAGGGCUUCACGCAUGCUACAAUGGCCGGUACAACGGGAUGCGACGCGGCGACGCGGAGCGGAUCCCUGAAAACCGGUCUCAGUUCGGAUCGCAGUCUGCAACUCGACUGCGUGAAAGCGGAGUCGCUAGUAAUCGCGAAUCAGCAACGUCGCGGUGAAUGCGUUCCCGGGCCUUGUACACACCGCCCGUCAAGUCAUGAAAGUGGGCAGCACCCGAAGCCGGUGGCCUAACCCCUUGUGGGAUGGAGCCGUCUAAGGUGAGGCUCGUGAUUGGGACU
rnacentral:rRNA from 1 species